AGCUUGCCACUGGGCUAGCUGUAUGGAGCCCCACUCAAAAACGCGAACCAGGUACUCCUGCCUCUGGCUGUCGAGCGGAGCGCCGCCGCGCCGCCGCACCUUCUCCCGUCCCCGCCGACCCGCCGAACACCGACCCUAGGACUCCCAUGCCGCUGGCGCAGUGCACGACCCGGCCAUUCGGAUAUCGUGCUGGCCUCGCCCCGUCGUCAUCAGCAGGCACAGCGGCUCCUGAAUCCAGUAGCCACGGCCGCACACAACACACGCCGGUAGGCGGCACACUUCACGCCUCCGAGCGAUGGCGCAGCUUCUGCAGGUGUAACUUCAAGGUAUCACCAUGGCGAGAUCCUCUUUGCUGAUAACCAGGAACGUGAGAAUCGUUUGGAUGCUGAAAACUCUGAAGUGAGCACUGUGAAGUAUGAUAUGCACUUGACGCUGGAUCAUUGCACUACCCCAUUGAGUUCGAAUAUGAUUCUGCUAACUCUGAUGUAGCGCCAGCAUGUAGAAGCUACAACAUCUACGCUGAUGUUCGUAACCUUCGUUCCUGGUUUAUCACCUGUGUAAGUUCCUGAAAAUUGGUAGGCAACGCGCUGGUUCUGUUCAUGUUCUUGCUGCCCAGGCACAUCAGAUUAGAAUUAGUAAUCUAUCUAUGGAUGGGGCAUGUCCCUCCAUUGUUGAGAUGGUUUGUUAUGACUCUGUAAUUGAUUUCGUAUGAGUAAAGCAAAAUGGUCUGUGCUC